GGCAGAAGGAAGCGCCUCCUCAUGGCAGAGGCCUACCCAGGAGAAACCCAAGGGAAGGCACUGCCGGGCCAGCCCCUCUGCCAAAGCCAUUUUCUUUUUUCUUUUUUUUUUUUUUUUUUUGAGACACAGUUUCACUCUGUCUCCCAGACUGGAGUGCAGUGGCACAAUCUCGGCUCACUUCAACCUCUGCCUCCCCAGUUCAAACGAUUCUCCUGCCUCAACCUUCUGAGUAGCUGGGAUUACAUGAGCAUAGCACACCUAGCUAAUUUUUGUAUUUUUAGCAGAGACAGGGUUUUGCCAUGUUGCCCAGGCUAGACUCGAACUCUUGGCCUCAAGUGAUCCACCUGUCUCAGCCUCCCAAAGUGCUGGGAUUACAGGAGUGAGCCACCGCACCCAGCACUCGUCAAGGUCUUUGAUGGCAGGUUUUUCCAGGUG
rnacentral:lncRNA from 1 species